rnacentral:snoRNA from 1 species
ACUGGUGUCCGUGAUGACUUGAAACUUUUUUCCCCAUCAGAGCGACUGUGUUGAUCUCUUUGCUGUUAGCCAGUAUCUGUCUGAGGCACCAGG